rnacentral:rRNA from 1 species
GAUGAACGCUGACAGAAUGCUUAACACAUGCAAGUCAUUGGCGAAGCUGCGCUUGCGCAGUCUAGCCAAGGCGGACGGGUGAGUAACGCGUAAGGAACUUGCCCUGCAGACAGGGAUAACAGACGGAAACGACUGAUAACACCUGGUAUUGUCAGCCUGUCGCAUGCCGGCCUGAUGAAAGGAGACGCUGCAGGAGAGCCUUGCGUCCUAUUAGCUAGUUGGUGGGGUAACGGCCCACCAAGGCGAUGAUAGGUAGCCGGCCUGAGAGGGUGAACGGCCACAAGGGGACUGAGAUACGGCCCUUACUCCUACGGGAGGCAGCAGUGGGGAAUAUUGGACAAUGGGGGCAACCCUGAUCCAGCAAUUCUGUGUGCACGAAGAAGGUUUUCGGAGUGUAAAGUGCUUUCAGCAGGGAAGAAGAAAGUGACGGUACCUGCAGAAGAAGCGACGGCUAAAUACGUG